UACGUAGGGUGCGAGCGUUGUCCGGAAUUAUUGGGCGUAAAGAGCUCGUAGGCGGUGUGUCGCGUCGGCCGUGAAAACCUGGGGCUCAACUCUGGGCGUGCGGUCGAUACGGGCAUCACUAGAGUUCGGCAGGGGAGACUGGAAUUCCUGGUGUAGCGGUGAAAUGCGCAGAUAUCGGGAGGAACACCGGUGGCGAAGGCGGUUCUCUGGGCCUUACCUGACGCUGAGGAGCGAAAGCGUGGGGAGCGAACAGG
rnacentral:rRNA from 1 species